UGGGGAAUAUUGGGCAAUGGGCGAAAGCCUGACCCAGCAACGCCGCGUGAAGGAAGCAGGCUUUCGGGUUGUAAACUUCUUUGACCAGGGACGAAAAAAAUGACGGUACCUGGAAAACAAGCCACGGCUAACUACGUGCCAGCAGCCGCGGUAAUACGUAGGUGGCAAGCGUUGUCCGGCUUUACUGCGUGUAAAGGGCGCGUAGGCGGGAUUGCAAGUCAGCUGUGAAAUGCUGGGGCUUAACCCUGGAACUGCAUUUGAAACUGUGAGUCUUGAGUAUCGGAGAGGCAGGCGGAAUUCCAAGUGUAGCGGUGAAAGGCGUAGAUAUUUGGAGGAACACCAGUGGCGAAGGCGGCCUGCUGGACGACAACUGACGCUGAGGCGCGAAAGCGUGGGGAGCAAACA
rnacentral:rRNA from 1 species